AUGUACAUUCCUACAACAUAGCGUUAAUGCACCAGAUCCCUUUAGAACUUCGUAGUUAAGCAUGCUCAGGCUAGAGUAGUACUAGGAUGGGUGACUGCCCGAGAAUUCCUAGUGUUUUACAUG
rnacentral:rRNA from 1 species